rnacentral:rRNA from 1 species
CCGGCGACCGGCGCACGGGUGAGUAACACGUAUGCAACCUGGCCGUGACAGAUGGAUAACCGGGAGAAAUCCCGCCUAAUACAGCAUGACGCCGGGAAGGGACAUCCCCUUUCCGGCCAAGGGGGCGACUCCGGUCACGGAUGGGCAUGCGGCGCAUUAGGUAGUUGGUGGGGCAACGGCCCACCAAGCCGACGAUGCGUAGGGGUUCUGAGAGGAAGGUCCCCCACACUGGUACUGAGACACGGACCAGACUCCUACGGGAGGCAGCA